rnacentral:rRNA from 1 species
ACACGUAGGUGGCAAGCGUUGUCCGGAAUUAUUGGGCGUAAAGCGCGCGCAGGCGGUCCUUUAAGUCUGAUGUGAAAGCCCACGGCUCAACCGUGGAGGGUCAUUGGAAACUGGGGGACUUGAGUGCAGAAGAGGAAAGUGGAAUUCCAAGUGUAGCGGUGAAAUGCGUAGAGAUUUGGAGGAACACCAGUGGCGAAGGCGACUUUCUGGUCUGUAACUGACGCUGAGGCGCGAAAGCGUGGGGAGCAAACAGGAUUAGAUACCCUGGUAGUCCACGCCGUAAACGAUGAGUGCUAAGUGUUAGGGGGUUUCCGCCCCUUAGUGCUGCAGCUAACGCAUUAAGCACUCCGCCUGGGGAGUACGGUCGCAAGACUGAAACUCAAAUGAAUUGGCGGGG